UAAAGCGUGCGUAGGCGGCCAUUCAAGUCAGAGGUGAAAGCCCAGGGCUCAACCCUGGAACUGCCUUUGAAACUAGAUGGCUGGAACACGGGAGAGGUGAGUGGAAUUCCGAGUGUAGAGGUGAAAUUCGUAGAUAUUCGGAAGAACACCAGUGGCGAAGGCGGCUCACUGGACCGUUGUUGACGCUGAGGCACGAAAGCGUGGGGAGCAAACAGGAUUAGAUACCCUGU
rnacentral:rRNA from 1 species